GAUAAUCUAAGAUUUCCAUACGCUUAAUUUCUCCGAAUUUUUCCAAUUCUCCAACAUCUUCUUGUUCGUCUUCCUCCUCGUCAUAAUGUUUCAAAACAGGUGACUCCCUGAACCGAUUAGUAAGGUCAGCCAUUUUCAGAGGAUCGGAUCUGCAUCUCAUAAGAAGCAGAGCAUUUUUCGGCGGAAUACAAACACUCACUCUACCUCCUCCGCUUUCCAUUUCAACAAUCUCAUCCUUAAAUUCAAUAUCUUCAAAUACAUGUCUUCUUGAACUCCUCAUUGUACUGCUACACCUCGCCUCCUCUGUUCUUUCUUCUUCACCGCUCGCUACCACCAACUCAAUAUCCCUUCUUUUCCCUCCUUCCCCAUCUUGCACUGCUACUAACCAUCUA
rnacentral:misc_RNA from 1 species